rnacentral:rRNA from 1 species
UAGAGAGAGACAUGCGCGCAUAUCAAUAAGCGGAGGAAAAGAAACUAACAAGGAUUCCCUUAGUAACGGCGAGUGAAGCGGGAAGAGCUCAAAUUUGAAAUCUUCAAGGUUUUACCUUGACGAAUUGUAGUUUAAAGAAGUGUUCUCUGCUGAAGUUUUGGUAAAAGUUCUUUGGAAUAGGACAUCAUAGAGGGUGAGAAUCCCGUAUUUGACCAUUAUUUUCAGGCUUUGUGAUACACUUUCAAAGAGUCGGAUUGUUUGGGAAUGCAGUCCAAAAUGGGUGGUAAAUUUCAUCUAAAGCUAAAUAUUGGCGAGAGACCGAUAGCGAACAAGUACCGUGAGGGAAAGAUGAAAAGAACUUUGAAAAGAGAGUUAAACAGUACGUGAAAUUGUCAAAAGGGAAGCGUUUGACACCAGUGUUGUUUUCUCGAAAAUCAAUUAAAAAUGGCUCGAUUUUGUAUUGCUUGAGACCUUAAAAGCUCACUGUACAUUUUUCGUGUCUUUUUUAAUGCACUUUUCGUUUAACAAGUCAACAUCAGUUUCUUUUGUUGUAAAAGGGGUCAUUGGAAGGUGGCUUUCUUUUCGGAGAAAGUGUUUAUAGCCUUUGGCCUCUGCAAUCGAAGAGACUGAGGUCUGCAGCGUAGACUCUUCGGGGUUAGAUACAUUUGUGCUAAGUUAUAGCUUUUUAUAGACAACUUGUUGACUAUAAUUAGUCUUGUAGCUUACUCGCUUAUGCUAUUUUACCUACGCUUAGGAUGUUGAGUCGUAGAGCACGCAG